GGCUGGUCUGAAGGUAGUGAGUUAUCUCAAUUGAUUGUUCACGGUCAGUUACAGAUUGAACUCCUUGUUUUACUCUUUCCCCCUUCUCGCUACUGCACUUGACUAGUCUUAA
ensembl:misc_RNA Y_RNA Y RNA